rnacentral:rRNA from 1 species
CGUAGGGGGCGAGCGUUGUCCGGAUUUAUUGGGCGUAAAGAGCUCGUAGGCGGUUCGGCAAGUCGGGUGUGAAAUUUCGAGGCUCAACCUCGAAACGCCACUUGAUACUGCCAUGACUGGAGUCCGGUAGAGGAGUGUGGAAUUCCUGGUGUAGCGGUGAAAUGCGCAGAUAUCAGGAGGAACACCAACGGCGAAGGCAGCACUCUGGGCCGGUACUGACGCUGAGGAGCGAAAGCGUGGGGAGCAAACAGGAUUAGAUACCCUGGUAGUCCACGCCGUAAACGUUGGGCACUAGGUGUGGGGAGCUGUCAACGCUCUCCGUGCCGUAGCUAACGCAUUAAGUGCCCCGCCUGGGGAGUACGGCCGCAAGGCUA